UUCAAAUUCUCUACCAAGCAUCUUUAUGUUAUCUUUUAUCCCCCGCGCAUUUAGUUUUCAGUACUCUCAGCGGCCUUCGGCGUCAGGGGACACGGCGGCGCCGCCCAAAAGACGAAGCUAUGCGGUUAUGGCGUCCACGUCGUUCCCUCUCACGUGCCGAGAAAACUCCACGCGAGCCUCUCUUGCUCUUCCGUUCUACCAAUCUCUCCUCUUCCCACCAAAUCCAGUCGCCAAUUUUACUCCACUUCUCGGAAUCUCGCCGUUUCUCCACAUUCUCCGUUGCCGAAGACGAGAAGUAUGGCUUCCGGCGGCCGGAUAUGUAUCGGAGCAACCUUGCCGGAACCGUUGCUGCUUACGAGCGCCAUGUGUUCCUAUGUUAUCGAAGUCCUGAAUUCUGGCCGUCCCGCGUUGAACACUCGGACGCUGAUCUGCUACCAAACCUCCUAUCUUCUGCCAUCAAAGUUCAUAAGAAUGAAAUCUCUGUUAAGACGAAACUGACGAUAUGCGAGGCAGGUGAGGGAACGGAGUAUUCGGAUGGAGAUGUAUUGAUUUUUCCGGAAAUGGUCAAAUACAGGGGCUUGAAAGAUAAAGGUGUAGAGAGGUUUGUUGAGGAUGUGCUUUUGAAUGGUAAACUGCAGGCCUCUGGAGAAUACGAUGUUUUGGCUGGCUCUUACAUUUUUGUAUGUGCACAUGGUAGUCGAGACCAGAGAUGUGGUGUCUGUGGACCAGUUCUUGUUUCAAAACUUAAAGAGGAGAUUAAACUGAGAGGGCUGAAGGAUCAAAUUUAUGUCCAUCCAUGUUCACACAUUGGUGGACACAAGUAUGCUGGAAACUUGAUUAUAUAUUGUCCAGAUUCAGAUGGGAGAAUCAUGGGGCAUUGGUAUGGCUAUGUUAAUCCUGAAGACGUGCCUGAAUUGCUGGACAAGCAUAUUGGAAAGGGAGAGAUAAUAGAAAGGCUUUGGAGGGGUCGAAUGGAGAGGACCUAUGAUGAGGAAGGUAUAAAAGGAGACAAAGAUGAACUUCCUAGUGCUGAAAUUUACAAGGAAACUACGAACAAGCCUUGAGAGGAGGACAGCCAAGGGCACUUCUGGAUUGGCAUUUUUUGAACGAAGUCUAGUGCCCUGUCAAGUUCUCCUGUUUGACCAAGAAGAUCAAUAAUGAUGCCAUAAUGCUCUGUGUCAGUAUGUUGGGGUUUUUUCUGUAUUCAUGCAACAAUAUGUCCAAUAUAUUGAUCCCUUCUCCAUUCAAACCGGCAUGGUUACAAGAAGGGAUUUCCAUAGUCUGCCAUGAUCACACUCCAGCUCUAUGAGCGAAACUCCUACAAAAACAUUAUGGAUGAAGCUAGUUUUAACAACAUAGUCAUGGAGGCAAAGUGCUUGUUGGAGAAUGCUCAAAGCUGAACAAGAAGCAAGAAUUUUCACUAUGGGGACAACUUCAGGAUUUAUGUUGUUCAACAGCAUGGUAUUGAAGGUUUCCAUUGACAUGGAUGAUAUCUCAUUUGGAGAAUAUCCACCUAUCAAGGCAACCCAAGUAACCAGGGCACUUUUUCAAGCAUGUCAGGGGGUUCUUCAGGUGAAAAGCAUUUCAUGUCGUAUAAAUCAGAGCUGUGGAAAUUGAAACAUCCAAAUCCAAAACUUUGCUGUAUCAGAGCUAGGCGAUGAAACCCUAGCCAUUAUGGAAGAGAACCAACCUCAAUCAUCUUCUGCUGAUGGAACUUCGUUUGACAUGAAGACCGCUAUUUGAGCAGCCGUAAAGGAAUGUUUUCAAGCAGUCCUGCCGGAGUUGAUUUCUGCCGUCCAACUGCAGUCGAUGGAGAGCCGGCAUCGGUGGAAACCGCCACACCAGAUAGAAGAGUUGAGCGAGUCCAGACGAGUCAUCGACGGACGGACAGGUAUGUUUUCGGUUGAUUCCAAUCGUGGGUCGCCACCAGCCGCACCGGUCGAGGCCAGAUCCAUCAUAUCUCUUUGCGCGCCAUCACAACCCUUCGUGCCGUCACAACCCUCCGUGCCGCAGCUCUUUGCACCGGUCGGUCCUUCUGCGCCAGAUCCGUCCAAUCUACGAGGAGUCACGCCGAACACGGUAGAUCCGUCCGCGCUUGGCCCUAGUUCGUUCGACCAACAACGAGCCGGCGACCACUUUCAGCCGGUGACCUCCCUCCAGCUGGUGAUUACCUUCCAGCCGGCGAUCUCCUUCUAGCUGUUAGUGGCUGCCUCGUUUCAAGCCGGUUGUGGCUCGACUCAAUACCCAGAUGAAAACCCGGUAAAUUCUUUCCCUAUUUUACCCACUACAAAUAUCCUGUCUGGAUUUCCCUUAGUUGAUAGUACAACCAGCUUGAGUACGGUUGGAAUCAGUACCAUCGCCCAGUCAGACAAUAUACAGUCUUUUGGUCUUAUUAGUGUGAACGGUAAAAAACCUUGGAUUGUUGACUCAGGGGCGACGGAUCAUCUUACUGGUACCUCUGAUCAGUUUCUCUCAUAUUAUCCAAGUGCUGGUAAUGAAUGAAUUAGGAUUACAGAUGGGUCAUUCGCAUCUGUUGCGGGAAAAGAGGAUUUAUCUCCGUUUGAGGGUUCGGUUUUGCAGGACAUUUUGCAUGUUCCUAAAAUUUCAUAUAAUUUGUUAUCCAUCAGUAAGAUUACAAGAGAUCUGAAUUGUCAGGUAGUAUUUUCACCUGACUCUGUUUUAUUUCAGGAUCUAAGCUCGGGGACGACGAUUGGCAUUGCCCGGUACGAUAGGGGACUCUACUUCCUAACUGAUGAUGCUUCCUCUAAGAAUGAUUAUAGGACUAGCCUUGUCUCCUUAAAUUUUUCUAACUCUGAGAAUGAUUUUCUGUUAUGGCAUUACCGCUUAGGACAUCCAAACUUUUAGUACAUGAAAUACUUAUUUCCGCAUUUAUUUCGCAAUAUUAAUGUGUCUUCUUUAAAGUGUGAAGUGUAUAUUCGUGCCAACAGAAUCGUGUCUCCUUCCACUCCCAGCCCUAUAAACCACUCAAGCCCUUCACCUUAGUCCACAGUGAUGUUUAGGGUCCCUCACCAACCACAACCUCCACAGGGAAACGCUGAUUUGUCACUUUUAUAGACGACCACAUUCGGCUUACUUGAGUAUUUCUUCUCACUGAUAAGUCCGAGGUGUUAUCUGUAUUCCAACAAUUUUAUGCCACUGUGGAAACCCAGUUUAAUGCCAGAAUUGGUAUUUUGAGAAGUGACAAUGGGCGGGAAUUCUUUAACACUUCCUUUCAGGAGUUUCUUGCAUCCAAAGGGAUUAUCCACCAGAGUUCGUGUGCCUACACUCCCUAACAAAAUGGGGUAGUCGAGAGGAAAAAUCAUCAUUUGGUGGAAGUUACCAGGUCCUUAAUGCUAUCCACAUCACUCUCGUCUUACCUAUGGGGUGAUGCCAUCCUUACUGCUGCUCACUUAAUCAACCGAAUGCCUUCCCGAGUCCUCAAUUUUCAAAACCCGUUAGAUUGUUUGAAAGAGUCCUACCCUACGACUCGUUUAGUCUUCGAUGUACCACUUCGAGUUUUUGACUGUGUUGCCUUUGUUCACUCCCAUGGUCCAAACCGCAUGAAAUUUACCCUCCGUGCUAAAAAAUGCGUCUUUGUUGGAUAUCCACUCCAUCAGCGUGGGUAUAAAUGUUACCACCUAUCCUCUCGCAAAUAUUUUGUUUCCAUGGAUAUCACUUCUUUGAGGAUCAACCCUUCUUCCCUGUUAACCAUCUUCAGGGGGAGACCUCUAGUGAAGAGACUAACUGGUCCACAUAUACAGUUCCUUUGGAGUCAUCUCCUAUUCCCUAACAUGUCGGUCCUACCCUCUCUACCAAUCAAGUCCCAUAGAUAACAUACUAUAGAAAGAAUCUCAGGAAGGAAGGAGCGUCACCUGUUGCAUUUCCGGCUCCGGUCUAUGAGUCAAACCCGACAUCAGUUACAUGUAUUCCUGAGAUUGAUACUUGUACUGAGACUAACGAGUGCAAGAGGAAAAAGGAGGAGAAGGUGCUGACAACACCACUAUAGCAGAUGGGAAGACGACAGUGAAUGACGAUUCAGACACAGCUUUAGAAAAUGUGAGUGAUACUAGAGAUAAUGGUGAAAAGGUGGUGAUUUCUGAAGAUGAGAAACAAGAAGAGGAGACUAGUGAUCACAGUGAAAAUUCUGACAGUCUGAAGGAGUAUGAUGCUUCUUUUGAUUUUCCAAUAGCCCUGAGGAAAGGUAUUCGGUCAUGUACAAGGUACCUUAUGCAUAACUACAUGACAUACAGUAACCUAUCAUCUGAAUUUAGGGCCUUUACCACUAGUUUAGAUGUAGGGGUGAUAUCGAGUAACAUACAAGAAGCAAUGAGAACUGAAGUUUGGAAGGCUGUUGUUAUGGAGGAGAUGAGAGCUCUGGAGAAAAAUGGAACGUGGGACCAAGUGAUCCUACCUAAAGGGCACAAGACAGUUGGGUGCAAAUGGGUUUUCACUAUAAAGUACAAGUCAGAUGAGUCCGUUGAUCGGUACAAGGCCAGGUUAGUUGCCAAAGGGUUUACUCAAACCUUUUGGGUAGAUUAUUCCGAGACAUUCUCUCCAGUAGCUAAACUCAAUACUAUCUGAGUAUUGCUAUCAGUUGUAGUUAACAAAUAUUGGCCUCUACAUCAACUGGAUGUAAAGAAUGCCUUUCUCAAUGGAGGAAGUCUACAUGAAUCCUCCUCCUGGAUUUGAAGACUAGUUCAAACAGCGAGUCUGCCAGAUGAGAAAGUCGCUUUAUGGGUUGAAACAGUCUCCGAGAGCUUGGUUUGACAGAUUUGCCACUUUUGUCAAAGGACAAGGGUAUACCCAAGGGCACUCAGAUCACACUUUUUACAAAAAAGUCAACUUCAGGGAAGGUAGCAAUUCUCAUUGUGUACGUUGACGAUAUUGUGCUCUCCGGUGAUGAUGAUGAUGAAAUUGUGAAACUCAAAACAAAGAUGGCCAAAGAGUUUGAAAUUAAAGACCUUGGGAAGUUGAGAUACUUUCUCGGAAUGGAAGUAGCCCGGUCUAGGGACAGAAUCUCAGUGUCCCAACGGAAAUACGCGAUUGAUCUUCUUACGGAAACAUGAAUGACUGGGUGCAAACUUGCUGACACCCUAGUUGAAUAUAAUUCAAAGCUUAGCAAUACUAGUAACAGUGUUCCGGUCAAUAAAGAGAGGUAUCAGCGGUUAGUUGGGAAAUUGAUAUACUUAUCUCAUACGAGACCUGAUAUUUCAUAUGCAGUGAGUGUUGUCAGUCAGUUUAUGCAGGCUCCUUGUGAAGAACACAUGACAACAGUUGAACGCAUUCUACGAUAUCUGAAAGGUACACCUGGUAAGGGGUUAAUGUUCAAGAAGUCUGAUAAAUGCUGCAUUGAAGCCUACAUUGAUUUUAAUUGGGUAGGGUCUGUUGUUGAUAGAAAAUCAACAUCAGGGUAUUGCACAUUUGUUUGGGGUAAUCUUGUGACCUGGAGGAGCAAGAAACAGGGGGGUUGUGGCCAGAAGUAGUGCAGAAGCUGAGUAUCGGACCAUGAGUUUAGGGAUAUGUGAAGAAAUCUGGUUGAUGAAAGUGUUGUCAGAUCUUCAUCAAGACAUUAAGCUCCCAAUGAAACUGUUUUGUGACAAUAAGGCAACAAUAAGUAUUGCAAUUAAUCAUGUUCAGCAUGACAGAACAAAACACGUUGAGAUCAACCGGCACUUCAUCAAGGAAAGACUUGACAACGGAAGUAUAUGCAUUCCUUAUGUUCCCUUAAAUCAGCAAAUUGCAGAUGCGCUCACAAAAGGGUUACUGAGACAGUUUUGUUUACUGUGUCAGCAAGUCGGGCCUUAUUGAUAUUUAUGCCCCAACUUGAGGGGGAGUGUCGAAAAACAGCUUGUAACCUUAGGGGUAUUUUAGUAAUUGUGUGUACCCUAGGGGUUCUCACUAGUCUAUUUAUUUGGCCUAUUCUCUUGUACUUUGUGUAUUAGAAUUAAUAAUAAAAAUCAGUGUUUAUCGUGGUUUUUCUCCCUGUACUAGGGUUUCCAUGUAACUGGGUUGUUAUUCUCUUCCCUACUCUUUUAUUUUUUAACAGUUAUAAAGCCAUGUAUGCUACUUCUGACCCUUGAAUUUGACAGUUGAGUACAGGUCGAUAAUAAGCUAUCAGGUGUGGUAGGGUCGGGGUUUAUACAUGCUUGGUCAUCGGUAUACUCAUACCCAGUUAUCAUCAAAGUCCACAAAAUCACGUUUGGUUGAGAAAAUUCCAAAAAAACGUGGAAUUGCUCAUGCAUUUUUCUUAUUUUUCUUUAUGAACACAUGAACAGUCUUUCCAAAUGCAAGUGCGUACAGCCCUGUGUAGGCCUUCUAUUAGAAUGUCUUCAAUCUAUUAUUUGUUAGAAUGCCUUGAAAUCUAUUUUGUAUUCGUAUUUAUGUUAUUGACGAUUUUGGCUCUAUAGUUUAGGGAGGUGCACUAUAUAUAAACCUUUUAACCCUACAGGUGCCUUUACAAUUUGUAAUAUGAUACUCUCUCUCUAAUAAUAAGCUGCUCUCUCCUUUUGCCCGUAGACGUAGCUAAUACACUGUUAAUGUAUCACAUAAAUCUAUGUUGAUUUCUCUACUGUUUAUGUUUUAUCCUUUUCUUUGUUUGUCGAUUGCAUAACACCUUCAAAAACUAUAGGAACAGUGAAAUUAUCUUUCAUAAGAUACUAUUUCAUGAAAGAGAUAUAAAGUUUGUCCCCAUUGAUUCUAUUUGCAGAGGCUUCUGAGAAGAGCAUUUAGCAGGUGUAUCGUUUUGCUCGGCAUUUCUUUUAACACCUUAUGUGCUCAGGAGAGAGGUGUAAAUUUCCCAUGGAGAGAACCGUGUUUGAUGGUGAAGAAACUGUCAUGGGCAAGGCCAACUAACAUGUGACAUUGCAAUUGAGCUAGAAUUUUGGUACAAUUACAUUUUCCAAACCACCUCACUAGCUGCUCCUUGCGUUUCAUGUAUAUGAUAUGUGAGCAGCAUACCUAUCAAGCUUCAUUUCCAGGUUGGUUGAUUUGGGUAGCGAGCGGUAUCCUUUCUGGCUCCAAAUUAUGAAGGAGGCACAAAUCAAUUUGAUCGAAGCUUAAACAGGUUGCAAAAGGGACGCCAUCUAAAUGUAGGAUUUAUAUUGAAAGUUCAUAGAUUAAGUUUGGACAUUUGAACAUAUAUAGAUGAAAAUUUUAAUGAAACCUAAUUUUUAGACCGAAAUGGUACUUAAUUU